UGCAGUCGAACGCGUUUCCGUUAUUGAUUUUAGAGUGCUUGCAUUUAGAUGAUUUAACACGAAACGAGUGGCGAACUGGUGAGUAACACGUGGGUAACCUGCCCUUGAAGUAGGGGAUAACACUUGGAAACAGGUGCUAAUACCGUAUAACAACCAAAACCACAUGGUUUUGGUUUAAAAGAUGGCUUCGGCUAUCACUUUAGGAUGGACCCGCGGCGUAUUAGCUUGUUGGUAAGGUAAUGGCCUACCAAGGCAAUGAUACGUAGCCGACCUGAGAGGGUAAUCGGCCACAUUGGGACUGAGACACGGCCCAAACUCCUACGGGAGGCAGCAGUAGGGAAUCUUCCACAAUGGACGAAAGUCUGAUGGAGCAACGCCGCGUGAGUGAUGAAGGGUUUCGGCUCGUAAAACUCUGUUGUUGGAGAAGAACAGGUGUCAGAGUAACUGUUGACAUCUUGACGGUAUCCAACCAGAAAGCCACGGCUAACUACGUGCCAGCAGCCGCGGUAAUACGUAGGUGGCAAGCGUUGUCCGGAUUUAUUGGGCGUAAAGCGAGCGCAGGCGGUUUCUUAGGUCUGAUGUGAAAGCCUUCGGCUUAACCGGAGAAGUGCAUCGGAAACCAGGAGACUUGAGUGCAGAAGAGGACAGUGGAACUCCAUGUGUAGCGGUGAAAUGCGUAGAUAUAUGGAAGAACACCAGUGGCGAAGGCGGCUGUCUGGUCUGUAACUGACGCUGAGGCUCGAAAGCAUGGGUAGCGAACAGGAUUAGAUACCCUGGUAGUCCAUGCCGUAAACGAUGAGUGCUAAGUGUUGGAGGGUUUCCGCCCUUCAGUGCUGCAGCUAACGCAUUAAGCACUCCGCCUGGGGAGUACGACCGCAAGGUUGAAACUCAAAGGAAUUGACGGGGGCCCGCACAAGCGGUGGAGCAUGUGGUUUAAUUCGAUGCUACGCGAAGAACCUUACCAGGUCUUGACAUCUUCUGCCAACCUAAGAGAUUAGGCGUUCCCUUCGGGGACAGAAUGACAGGUGGUGCAUGGUUGUCGUCAGCUCGUGUCGUGAGAUGU
rnacentral:rRNA from 1 species